GACAGAGGGUGCAAACGUUGUUCGGAAUUACUGGGCGUAAAGCGCGUGUAGGCGGCUAUGCAAGUCGGGCGUGAAAUCCCACGGCUCAACCGUGGAAGUGCACUCGAAACUGCGUAGCUAGAGUCCUGGAGAGGAAGGUGGAAUGCUUGGUGUAGAGGUGAAAUUCGUAGAUAUCAAGCGGAACACCGGUGGCGAAGGCGGCCUCUGGACAGUGACUGACGCUGAGACGCGAAAAGCGUGGGGAGCAACAGG
rnacentral:rRNA from 1 species